rnacentral:rRNA from 1 species
AUUGAACGCUGGCGGCAGGCCUAACACAUGCAAGUCGAACGAGUGGCGGACGGGUGAGUAAUUUCUGGAAAACUGCCUGACGGAGGGGGAUAACUACUGGAAACGGUAGCUAAUACCGCAUACCAUCGGAUGUGCCCAGAUGGGAUUAGCUAGUAGGUGGGGUAAAGGCUCACCUAGGCGACGAUCCCUAGCUGGUCUGAGAGGAUGACCAGCCACACUGGAACUGAGACACGGUCCAGACGCCUACGGGAGGCAGCAGUGGGGAAUAUUGCACAAUGGGCGCAAGCCUGAUGCAGCCAUGCCGCGUGAAUGAAGAAGGCCUGCGGGUUGUAAAGUACUUUCAGCGGGGAGGCGUUACCCGCAGAGGAAGCACCGGCUAACUCCGUGCCAGCAGCCGCGGUAAUUC